CGCAUUCAUAUGUUGCACAUUGUAUAUACAGGCGGUGUUGACGGUGCUCGGCCAAGGUUAGCCCGAAUAACGAAUGUAAAGCCGCCUGGCGAAAAAAAGUUUGGAAGAAAGAUUGGUGUCAAGCGUACGACAGAGAAUAAAAGUUUCAAAACCGGUUUGUUUUCAUAGCGAAAUCAAAAUCAGCUUGAGAUUUUCAAAUAGAACCAGGGCAAGACAGAAUUAGGCUAACCAUAAGAAAAUAAAAAAUGGAACUUGAAGAAUCUAUCGAAACAAUAAAUUUUAUAAAUGUUAUUUUACACUGUAGACCAGUGAAUCGACAUUAAACCUGCUACUCAUAGAACGGAAAUCCGCUAAAUAAUUUAU